rnacentral:rRNA from 1 species
AUUGAACGCUGGCGGCAGGCCUAACACAUGCAAGUCGAGCGGAGCGGCGGACGGGCGAGUAAUGCCUAGGAAUCUGCCUGGCAGUGGGGGAUAACGUCCGGAAACGGGCGCUAAUACCGCACACUAUCAGAUGAGCCUAGGUCGGAUUAGCUAGUUGGUGGGGUAAAGGCCUACAAAGGCGACGACCCGUAACUGGUCUGAGCGGAGGAUCAGUCACACUGGAACUGAGACACGGUCCAGACUCCUACGGGAGGCAGCAGUGGGGAAGAUUGGACAAUGGGCGAAAGCCUGAUGCAGCCAUGCCGCGUGUGUGAAGAAGGUCUUCGGAGUGUAAAGCACUUUAAGUUGGGAGGCGGUACCAACAGAAUAAGCACCGGCUAACUUCGUGCCAGCCGCCGCGGUAAUAC